UACAUUCAGUGGCGAACGGGUGAGUAACGCGUGGAUAAUCUACCUAUGAGAUGGGGAUAACUAUUAGAAAUAGUAGCUAAUACCGAAUAAGGUCAGUUGAGAUGUCAAUUGAUGAAAGGAAGCCUUUAAAGCUUCGCUUGUAGAUGAGUCUGCG
rnacentral:rRNA from 1 species